rnacentral:rRNA from 1 species
CCUACGGGGGGCAGCAGUAGGGAAUAUUGCUCAAUGGGGGAAACCCUGAAGCAGCAACGCCGCGUGGAGGAUGAAGGUUUUCGGAUUGUAAACUCCUUUUGUUAGAGAAGAUAAUGACGGUAUCUAACGAAUAAGCACCGGCGAACUCCGUGCCAGCCGCCGCGGUAAUACGGAGGGUGCAAGCGUUACUCGGAAUGACGGGGCGUAAAGAGGGCGUAGGCGGGUUAGCAAGUCAGAUGUGAAAUCCUAUGGCUUAACCCUAGAACUGCAUUUGAAACUGUUCAUCUAGAGUAUGGGAGAGGUAGGUGGAAUGCUUGGUGUAGGGGUAAAAUCCGUAGAGAUCAAGAGGAAUACUCAUUGCGAAGGCGACCUGCUAGAACAUAACUGACGCUGAUGCGCGAAAGCGUGGGGAGCAAACAGGAUUAGAUACCCCGGUAGUC